rnacentral:lncRNA from 1 species
GUCGGUCCCAAACAUCUAAGUAAGGGGAGGGAGAACGACCUUUUGUAGAGUCGGCCGUCCAUGAUUACAUAUUGGGAGGCCGACCAUCGGAGCCGCCUGGCCUCCGUGGGAUCCUCGGGGCUGAUCCCGUCGGUCAAAUACCGAACGAUCGGGUCCAUCCAGCUUGGUUCGGCCGCCAGCUGUUGUAUUUCUUCGACCCGGUCGAUACUCGACUGCUCGAGGUUCUCCACGAACGUCCGACCCAA